AGUUAAUGAGCUUGAAUUAAGCAUAUGUUUUGAAAACAUAAUAUAGAGAUUAAAAUUUUCUAUUAACUU
rnacentral:tRNA from 1 species